UAAAAAUACAGGAGGGGGCUUGGGUAAUUAACUAUUCUACUCUGCACUAGACUGACCACCCCUGGACUGUGUUUGAGCAAAGGCAAAGUGGUCCUAAGGAGAAAGACCAGCAUGGAGAGGAGAGGCUUCCUGAGAAGAAAGCCAGAACAAAGAGUGGAAGACAUCCAGAAGACCUGAACUGAAAGUAAAGAACAGUAUUCUUUGUUGGCUGUGCAGGGCUUGCCCUGUCACUGGAGGUGUCCUGGAGGGAAAUCUCUAUUUGGGUGGGAAGAUGGGACUCAGUGUCCUCCAUGGCUCCUUCCAAGUGGAGGAUUCUGUGACUUUGUUACUGAUGCAGAGAGCAUUUAGGCCCACAAUGAAUGGGCAGUCAAAAGUGAGCCAAGUUUAGAAUGGGUGAAUGUAGAUAGACGAGGUAGAGGAAGAAAACAGGGAAACCCCUAACCUGCUUGAUUCUUAGGGCUGUUUAUUUCAGGAAGGGCUAACAAUCUAGGAAAAUCAACUAUUUCCCACCAGCCCCCUUUAAAAGAUCUCAUCCCGAAUCCUCCCAGUCAGGAAGCGGGGGGCAUUUACAUCUGCUUUAGCAUACAUUCUCCAAAGGGUCUCAAUAUAUGCAUAUGGAGUCCAUAUGCAUAUGGACUCACAAUUUGCUGUGAGUCAAUCUGGAGCAUCUCUGGGCCCUUACACCUUACACCUAUCACCACUGUCAAAACUCCAGAAGGACAUGCCUACAAAGUCCAAUACAUCUUUUGCUUGUAGCAGUGUGGGCCCAUAAGUGAGGUGUGAAUGCCUGUGGGCCGUGACUGUGGCACAGCUAUCUGUAACUCUGUUCCCAGUAGUGCCAGCUUAGAAGGUGGGACAGGAUGUCCAUUCCUGGCUGAACUGCUUCCCUUCCCAGUGACUUGGGUGAACAUUCCCCUCUCAGCGCCUUUGAAUCUUCCUUCCCAGCACCAUAAUGACUCAUUAGGUAAAGCUGCUGGAGAAAUAUUGGACCCAAUAAGAACAGAUUCAAGGGUUACCUUGCUGCCAGAAGCCAGAGCAUAGCCUCCUCCCACCAGAAUGACAAUCUCCCAGGGCAUGGUCUUCUGGAAGUCCUUCCACGUGAUGAUGGGCUCCGUCCCCAGUGAGGGCUCCUGGUCCUCCCCUGGAUCACAGGUAGACAGCGAGGCAGAGCCAGAUGAACACUAAUGGGUGUGAUUUGUGGAGACAGGGGCCUAAUUGAUGAACCAGAGGAUACUCUGCUAUUCUGGGAGGAGUUGGAAGGGGUUUGGUAAGGCUCCUCCCCAAAUUCUGACUUCGACCAUUAUUUGACUAGAGCCAGCCCCAACUUCUUCUCUUGAACUCCUCUCACCAUCGUUCUUUUUCCCGAAGCAAGGCUUCUUCGCUGGAAUCAGGAAGAGGAGGAAGCCAAGGAAGACAGAGACUGUGGCGUCGGUGCGAUAGCCCUUCCUGGCGAAGAGACAAGAAGAGCUGGGGAGAGGGUCAGGAAGCUCAGGGGUAACACCGUGUCUCAGGACAGCCUGUCUGAACACAGCGCCUCUCUUGAGGACCUAGUCUAGAGGGGACGUCAACCUGCCUUCUUGCCAGUUGCUGCCAUGCUGUCCAGUGGUGGAUUUAAUGGGCAAUGGCUAAUGUCUGGAGGCAGGGCCUGGUUAGGGUAGAUGUCUUAGUGUGAAUUUAUGGACCUAUUAAAAGGAGUGGUCAGGAGUUAUUUAGAUAAAGGAGACUAGAAAAGGAUGAAUUCUCUUUCUUGGGAGGGUCACAAGCUGGCACUGAGAGCUUGUGGCCUGUGGCCCUGGCCCUCGGGAAUAUGUAGGGGUGGGACAGGCCUCAGCCACGAUGGCCAUGGUCUUUACAGGUGGUGUUUUACUCUACAGACAUAUUCUCCUUUAACUCUCAUAACAAUUGAGGUUCCAAGAGCUUAAGUAACAAGACCAAGGUCAUGUGGAUGGUAAGUGGCAGCUCUUGAUCCCAAGCCUGGACUCAGACUCCAAAGACUAUUUUCUUCCUGACUCCACACUGCAGCUUCCCUAAAAAAGGGGGACUUUCAAGGGAACAAAGUGCUUCCUGGGUCCACGACUAUCCCACAGAAUCUAGGAGGGGACACCGGUGGGUACUGCCUGAAGGGUUUGGGUUAGGGGGUUGUUCUCAGAGACAGUAUCCUUUACUUUUCAAAGAAGGAAUCCCAACCAGGAACAAAGCCAGGCUCCCGGGUAAACCACAGCACCGUCAUCAGGAUGAAGAAAAAUCCAGUCACCAUUUCCGGGUAGCUAUAAAAGAAAACAGACCCACUCCAGGAAUUGGGAAGUUUCUGUUAGCUUUCAAACUUUGCUUUGGGAUGCUCCUGUAUGCAGAGCUCCAAUAGUGGGGACCUAAAACGCAGCUACUGCUUAACCACUUGGACUUGGAAUACAGCAGAGGGGAAGGGUGGCCCUUAGAGUCUGGGCCAGCUUGACUUUGGCAUUAAGUAGCACCUCUAAAUGCCUUGAUUCGUAGUUGAGGAAAAUUCCCCCAGCUCAAGGGACCGCUGAGAACAAGGCUGCUUCUGUGCACACUUUACCUGCCACGCUUUCUCCUGGGGAAGGAGAGAGGGUGAAGGGCUGAUUCUUACGUAAUGGCUCCCAGCUUUUCAUAUUCCUCUUGGAUCCUCUUCUCUGAUAACUCUUCCCUUUUGGUCUUCUUCUUCUUACUCAGAGAGCAGGUCUCUUUAAAACUGAGAUGGGAGAAUGAGCAAAAGGAUAAAGGAAGCACACUUCUGAGGCCCAGAGGAGAACAGGUCUUAAGCAAAUACUAAACUACUGGUUGGCUGGCUGUGAUGGCUCUUCUCUCCACUCGCCCCACCUAUCAUGCGACUUGAUCUCUUGAUCUGCCAAGUUACACAGCCUCUCAUCAGCCUUCUCUCCAGCCUUUCAGAGCUCAUAGAGAAGUGCAGAGUCCACGUAUGUUUAGAGUGUCUAGAAGAUGUGAUGCCUGACUCCUCAUCUAGUCCACUGCAUCCUCCUCCGGGCAUCCUCUGUGGUUACUUGGCAGCUCCCCGUUGGGUGGCACCCUCCAGGGCUUGCGCCAUGGCCCUGGAUGGACAGGAGAGCCUUGAUGGCAGGGCCCUGGGACUCACUUGCAGCCCAGGAACAGCCAGUGCAUCCAGAACCAGCUGACCACCAGCAUGAUGAGGGAGAUGGGGAAGCUGAAGAGGAACCAGGUGCCGAAGUUGACCACUUCUGCUGCUGGAUACUGGCUGGAGGGGAAAGAACCAGAGAUUUCCUUGUGUGUGGUUGAUGAGUUCUGUGCAACAGAAGGAUCAUCUCUCCUCUCUGAGACCAUUUCCCGGGGCAGCUGAGAGGCAGCUUUGUGGUGGAAUUGGUGUUUUAAUUUCAUCCGUCUACCAACGAGAGGAACCCACAGAAGACCUGAGACACCAUUGUCCUCCUGGGUGAUGGUCCCCCACUGGCCCCAUGACUCAUGGCUCUCUGUGAAGCUUUUAAAGACUCAGUGCUACCAGGGUUACUUUCCCAGGGGACUGACUGACAACAUUUUAGUUUUCUGCCUCUUUGGCACAUAUCCUAAUAGACCCCAGUUGGUGAUGGCCUUUUAGGGGGCUCAGAGCCUGCACAAGAGGUGGGGCUACUUUCUUGGGGUUCCUCUCAAGGGCGAGGAGAAAGGAACCAACAUGUGGUAGAGUGCCUUUUACAUGCCAGAAAUGUAUUUUGCAUUCACUUUCUUGCUUAAGGUGAGGAAACAGACUCAGAGAGGUUAAGGAAGUUUUCCAGGGUCACAGUGUGAGGGGUGGAGUUGGGAUAUCAAUCCAGGUCCAUCUGAAUCUAAAGCUACUAUUCGACAUGCCACUCAGGGUGGCCAAGUAGAAACCACUCAUCUAAUUCAACUCCAGGGGAAAUUCUGGGUACCCCAGACAGCACGGGCCAGCCCACAUCCCUCAUCUUUAUUCAUAAUCACAGCCCUGACACUGGCCCCAAAUACCUGGGCCCGGUCCAAUGAGAGCCCCAGGCCCAGGUUUAGUGGGAUAUUGGCCCUGUGAUGUUUUCUUAUUUGGUGUUUGGUGUGCUCAGGUCUGUUCACGUGUCCUUCCUGCACCCUUGUAAGCGAUGCCACGUGUUUGGUGAUGUAGCCUGGGUGUAGUUUGUGACUCGGCUGUAUGCUGGGAAAGUUAUUCAACCUCUCUGGGCUUCAUUUCUCUCAUCUAAAAAAAUAAAUGAGGAUUAUAUGAGUCCCAAUCUUCUGUAAAGCUGUUGCGAAGAUUAAAUGACACAUGCAAACCAGCUAGCGUGGCCCGCCACGUUGACAGCCAGGGUUCCUGGUGGCUCUUCUGUUACUACGUGGUCCACACAAAGGCUGACCUGGUCUGAGGCCAUUAGCAUACAGAGAGGGCCCAGGCACAAUAAAUAAAAUCUUGUCCAAUGGUGUUGUUGGUUAGUUUUCUAGCCCACUGAUUUUUUUUUUUUUCUUUACAAUAAAACCUUGGUUACUUACAACCCCUCUGGGAGUUCCAGGAUUCUUGAGGAUUAUUUUAAUCAUU